rnacentral:rRNA from 1 species
GAUGAACGCUGGCGGCGUGCCUAAUACAUGCAAGUCGAGCGAACGGACGAGAAGCUUGCUUCUCUGAUGUUAGCGGCGGACGGGUGAGUAACACGUGGAUAACCUACCUAUAAGACUGGGAUAACUUCGGGAAACCGGAGCUAAUACCGGAUAAUAUUUUGAACCGCAUGGUUCAAAAGUGAAAGACGGUCUUGCUGUCACUUAUAGAUGGAUCCGCGCUGCAUUAGCUAGUUGGUAAGGUAACGGCUUACCAAGGCAACGAUGCAUAGCCGACCUGAGAGGGUGGUCGGCCACACGGGAACUGGGACACGGACCAGACUCCUACGGGAGGCAGCAGUAGGGAAUCUUCCGCAAUGGGCGAAAGCCUGACGGAGCAACGCCGCGUGAGUGAUGAAGGUCUUCGGAUCGUAAAACUCUGUUAUUAGGGAAGAACAUAUGUGUAAGUAACUGUGCACAUCUUGACGGUACCUAAUCAGAAAGCCACGGCUAACUACGUG